AAGGAGGAAUCCGAAAAUCCGAUAAAAGAGUAGGGA
rnacentral:ncRNA from 1 species